rnacentral:rRNA from 1 species
UACGUAGGGUGCAAGCGUUGUCCGGAAUUAUUGGGCGUAAAGAGCUCGUAGGCGGUCUGUCGCGUCUGCUGUGAAACUCAGGGCUUAACCCUGAGCUUGCAGUGGGUACGGGCAGACUAGAGUGCGGUAGGGGAGACUGGAAUUCCUGGUGUAGCGGUGGAAUGCGCAGAUAUCAGGAGGAACACCGAUGGCGAAGGCAGGUCACUGGGCCGCAACUGACGCU